CAGCCGCCACGGUAAUACGAAGGGUGCAAGCGUUAAUCGGAAUUACUGGGCGUAAAGCGCACGCAGGCGGUCUGACAAGUCAGAUGUGAAAUCCCCGGGCUUAACCUGGGAACUGCAUUUGAAACUGUCAGGCUGGAGUCUUGUAGAGGGGGGUAGAAUUCCAGGUGUAGCGGUGAAAUGCGUAGAGAUCUGGAGGAAUACCGGUGGCGAAGGCGGCCCCCUGGACAAAGACUGACGCUCAGGUGCGAAGGCGUGGGGCGCAAACAGGAUUAGAUACCCCGGUAGUCCCUGUCUCUUAUAC
rnacentral:rRNA from 1 species